rnacentral:rRNA from 1 species
GACGAACGCUGGCGGCGUGCUUAACACAUGCAAGUCGAACGGAAAGGCCCUGCUUUUGUGGGGUGCUCGAGUGGCGAACGGGUGAGUAACACGUGAGUAACCUGCCCUUGACUUUGGGAUAACUUCAGGAAACUGGGGCUAAUACCGGAUAGGAGCUCCUGCUGCAUGGUGGGGGUUGGAAAGUUUCGGCGGUUGGGGAUGGACUCGCGGCUUAUCAGCUUGUUGGUGGGGUAGUGGCUUACCAAGGCUUUGACGGGUAGCCGGUCUGAGAGGGUGACCGGCCACAUUGGGACUGAGAUACGGCCCAGACUCCUACGGGAGGCAGCAGUGGGGAAUAUUGCACAAUGGGCGGAAGCCUGAUGCAGCAACGCCGCGUGCGGGAUGACGGCCUUCGGGUUGUAAACCGCUUUCGCCUGUGACGAAGCGUGAGUGAAGGUAAUGGGUAAAGAAGCACCGGCUAACUACGUG